rnacentral:rRNA from 1 species
ACGCUAGCUACAGGCUUAACACAUGCAAGUCGAGGGGAAACGACAUUGAAGCUUGCUUCGAUGGGCGUCGACCGGCGCACGGGUGAGUAACGCGUAUCCAACCUGCCUCUGACUAAGGGAUAACCCGGCGAAAGUCGGACUAAUACCUUAUGAGGUUUUCUGCAGACAUCUAAUGAAAACGAAAGAUUUAUCGGUCAGUGAUGGGGAUGCGUCUGAUUAGCUUGUUGGCGGGGUAACGGCCCACCAAGGCGACGAUCAGUAGGGGUUCUGAGAGGAAGGUCCCCCACAUUGGAACUGAGACACGGUCCAAACUCCUACGGGAGGCAGCAGUGAGGAAUAUUGGUCAAUGGGCGAGAGCCUGAACCAGCCAAGUAGCGUGCAGGAUGACGGCCCUAUGGGUUGUAAACUGCUUUUAUGUGGGGAUAAAGUGAGCUACGUGUAGUUUAUUGCAGGUACCACAUGAAUAAGGACCGGCUAAUUCCGUGCCAGCAGCCGCGGUAAUACGGAAGGUCCAGGCGUUAUCCGGAUUUAUUGGGUUUAAAGGGAGCGUAGGCCGUGGAUUAAGCGUGUUGUGAAAUGUAGACGCUCAACGUCUGAAUUGCAGCGCGAACUGGUUCACUUGAGUAUGCACAACGUAGGCGGAAUUCGUCGUGUAGCGGUGAAAUGCUUAGAUAUGACGAAGAACUCCGAUUGCGAAGGCAGCUUACGGGAGCACAACUGACGCUGAAGCUCGAAGGUGCGGGUAUCAAACAGGAUUAGAUACCCUGGUAGUCCGCACAGUAAACGAUGGAUGCCCGUUGUUAGUUCACUUAAGAAUUAGCGACCAAGCGAAAGCAUUAAGCAUCCCACCUGGGGAGUACGCCGGCAACGGUGAAACUCAAAGGAAUUGACGGGGGCCCGCACAAGCGGAGGAACAUGUGGUUU